rnacentral:rRNA from 1 species
GCGUGAGUAACCUGCCUUCAANAGGGGGAUAACAUUCUGAAAAGAAUGCUAAUACCGCAUGACAUAUCGGAACCACAUGGUUUUGAUAUCAAAGAUUUUAUCGCUUGAAGAUGGACUCGCGUCCGAUUAGUUAGUUGGUGAGGUAACGGCUCACCAAGACCGCGAUCGGUAGCCGGACUGAGAGGUUGAACGGCCACAUUGGGACUGAGACACGGCCCAGACUCCUACGGGAGGCAGCAUG